UGUAGGUGUUGGUGGACUUGGCUGG
rnacentral:misc_RNA from 1 species